rnacentral:rRNA from 1 species
CCUACGGGGGGCUGCAGUGAGGAAUAUUGGUCAAUGGGCGCUAGCCUGAACCAGCCAAGUAGCGUGAAGGAUGACUGCCCUAUGGGUUGUAAACUUCUUUUAUAGGGGAAUAAAGUGCAGUAGGUAUACUGCUUUGCAUGUACCUUAUGAAUAAGGAUCGGCUAACUCCGUGCCAGCAGCCGCGGUAAUACGGAGGAUCCGAGCGUUAUCCGGAUUUAUUGGGUUUAAAGGGAGCGUCGGCGGGUUGUUAAGUCCGUUGUGAACGUUUGCGGCUCAACCGUAAAAUUGCAGUUGAUACUGGCAUCCUUGAUUACAGUAGCGGUAGGCGGCUUUCCUGGUGUCGCGGU